GACAGAGGUGCCAAGCGUUAGGCGGAAUCACUGGGCUUAAAGCGUGUGUAGGCGGAUCGUUAAGUACCUUGUGAAAUCCCACGGCUCAACCGUGGAACUGCUGGGUAUACUGGCGGUCUUGAGCCACCUAGGGGCGAGCGGAACAAACGGUGGAGCGGUGAAAUGCGUAGAUAUCGUUUGGAACGCCAACGGUGAAAACAGCUCGCUGGGGGUGUGCUGACGCUGAGACACGAAAGCCAGGGGAGCGAACAGG
rnacentral:rRNA from 1 species